UAUGAGAAACAGGUUCCACAAGGUUCGUC
rnacentral:sRNA from 1 species